rnacentral:rRNA from 1 species
UACGAAGGAUGCAAGCGUUAUCCGGAUUUAUUGGUUGUAAAGGGUGCGUAGGCGGACUUAUAAGUCAGUGGUGAAAUCUCGUUGCUUAACAACGAACGUGCCAUUGAUACUGUAGGUCUUGAGUACAGAUGCCGUUGGCGGAAUGUGUCAUGUAGCGGUGAAAUGCAUAGAUAUGACACAGAACACCGAUUGCGAAGGCAGCUGACGAAACUGUAACUGACGCUGAGGCACGAAAGCGUGGGGAUCAAACAGG